rnacentral:rRNA from 1 species
AGCGAACGCUGGCGGCAGGCUUAACACAUGCAAGUCGAACGGGAACUUCGGUGCUAGUGGCAGACGGGUGAGUAACACGUGGGAACGUACCUUUCGGUUCGGAAUAAUACAGUGAAACUUGUACUAAUACCGGAUACGCCCUCAGGGGGAAAGAUUUAUUGGCGAUAGAUCGGCCCGCGUCUGAUUAGCUAGUUGGUGAGGUAACGGCUCACCAAGGCGACGAUCAGUAGCUGGUCUGAGAGGAUGAUCAGCCACACUGGGACUGAGACACGGCCCAGACUCCUACGGGAGGCAGCAGUGGGGAAUAUUGGACAAUGGGCGCAAGCCUGAUCCAGCCAUGCCGCGUGAGUGAUGAAGGCCUUAGGGUUGUAAAGCUCUUUUGUCCGGGAAGAUAAUGACUGUACCGGAAGAAUAAGCCCCGGCUAACUUCGUGCCAGCCGCCGCAGUAAAAC